GAUACGCAACAGACUAAGGAAGAGAGGCAGCCAGCUACUACCUGCGAUGACCCUGUCAAACGUUAGAUCGCCACGGAAUAAGACUGAGGAACUUUCCACGCUCGUCAGAACAGAGUGCCAACAACAAACCUACCAGCUGAGUCCCCGGUGCUGAUCCAGUCCGGGUUGGCGAUGCUGGCGAUAGCGAAGACGUCUGCAGCGAGGAAGAGACAUCCUGAUAUCACGACCCAAAACCACACUGUCUGGACUCAGCCAACCCCGGCUCAGCCAUCCUCAUCACUGCCCAACAUACAUGGACGUCCUGGUAGGAGUGGGCAGCCCCUGGAGAGAGCUUGAGGCCAGCCAGGGGCUGGGCAAGGGACUGGCCUGUUCUGGCAGCCGCAUAGAAUCGUCUCUGUGAAGAAGAAAGACAUGUCAG